rnacentral:rRNA from 1 species
CCUACGGGAGGCUGCAGUGGGGAAUAUUGGACAAUGGGGGCAACCCUGAUCCAGCCAUGCCGCGUGUGUGAAGAAGGCCCUCGGGUUGUAAAGCACUUUCAGUGAGGAAGAACGCCUGGUGGUUAAUACCCAUCAGGAAAGACAUCACUCACAGAAGAAGCACCGGCUAACUCCGUGCCAGCAGCCGCGGUAAUACGGAGGGUGCGAGCGUUAAUCGGAAUUACUGGGCGUAAAGCGCGCGUAGGUGGCUUGAUAAGCCGGUUGUGAAAGCCCCGGGCUCAACCUGGGAACGGCAUCCGGAACUGUCAAGCUAGAGUGCAGGAGAGGAAGGUAGAAUUCCCGGUGUAGCGGUGAAAUGCGUAGAGAUCGGGAGGAAUACCAGUGGCGAAGGCGGCCUUCUGGACCGACACUGACACUGAGGUGCGAAAGCGUGGGUAGCAAACAGGAUUAGAUACCCCAGUAGUC